UCAACUUGCAACAUUGGGACACAUGCGAACGUCCGUCGAUUCCUCCGAUUGCGUGUGCCCCGCUCCACCGCGCCCCCUCUCCGCCCACGCCCCCUUCGGCGAGAACGAGACAAAACAACAACAAAGCCCGGACAGCACACAAACGUAUAGAAAUGAUAUGAAAACAGGUCAUUGCCUUAAUGGAUCUCGACUCGCCUCCGCCACACUUCCAGAUACAGAUACAAAUGUAUCUGUAGAGUACGCCUGUGUGGAUAUGGCUGUGGAUGCAAACGAAGACUGCGAAAGGAACGAAACGAAUCGAAACGAACGGAGAAACGCUGCCUGCAUACAAAACUAAAGAAGAAAAAAACUGAGAACUAAAAACGAAGAAGGCACACACAGAUACUCACACACACCGGGAAAUCAACGAUAAAGAUUUAAGCAAAUAAUCAAAUGCAUAAACAAGAAAGGGGUAAAAAGAUAUUAAAUUCACAAAGGCAACUUUAAAAUACUCUUUUCUUUUUGCAUAAUUAUCAAAAGUUAUUAAAAUCAAUAUAAGUU
ensembl:ncRNA lncRNA:CR45936 long non-coding RNA:CR45936